UUUUUCCUGUAAACGGGAUCAGAAUUUCUCAGAUUAACAUCAUAUUUUAUGGAAGAAAAACAUUUUGAAACCAUAUGCCCCACAGAAAUGUUAACUACUGUUCUACAGUAUCACAGACUUUUUUUCCUUUUCUCUAACUUUCUUUCCACCUAGAGCAGCAGAGCAGCCUCGACUGUUAUCCCUGCUGACGGCUGGUGAAGGUGACAGGGCCGUGCUGACUAAAGUCUGCCAACUACAUGAGGUCACCUGUCAGCAGCCUCGGCUCAUGCUGCUGCUUGGUUAUUGAGGACCAGUGGGAGACGGGAUGUCAGGCGUGGCUGGGAACUGAUGGCGGAAAUGAGUGGCCGUGGCAGCACUGAUGGAAUCAAACAUCUAACCACUGAUAACCAGCCCAGUUCCCCUCUCAUGGCCCAGUCAGCUGGUGAGCUACAGUUUGGUAAAAGUUUGGUCAACUACUGCCUGCUCUGGUGUUGUCUAGCUUUUCUGACAUUUCCUACAGUAACAACGUGUUCCUGUCAGGUGGAGUUGCUGAUACAGCAGAAAUGUGUUUUGUUGAUAUUGUACAAAUGUUCACCAGUCCCACAAAUCCUAAAGAAAAUAUGAUUUGAGAGGCUAUCUGAACAGAUUUCCCCACUGAUGGCGUGAGAACCAUGCAGUUGUGAGCAGUUAAAAGGCAGCACGGUGAUGUGCUGCCCUGUGAAAAGAGAACUUGAAACUUCAAAAGUCACAUUGUAAACUUCCCCAUUGAACUAUUAAGGGACUCAAUUAUUAACAAUAUUUUUUGUAUUAUUUUUGAUAAUAACUUAACAAUUCCAUCCAUCCAGGUAACAUCUGAAGUUUAGGAUUAUGUCGGGAAUAACAAUUGGCAUAAGAAUAGUUACAUUUUUAAAAAAUCAUCACAUUGUGUAAAACCCCUGUGGUAAUCUCAAAUGUAAGGAAAAGCUAACACUGGCUAAAUGUAUCAGCGGUUUGUCGACCAAGUGACAGAUGUAUCCA